rnacentral:tRNA from 1 species
GCCUGGGUGGCUCAGUCGGUUGAGCGUCUGACUUCGGCUCAGGUCAUGAUCUCAUGGUUUGUGAGUUCAAGCCCCGCAUCAGGCU